rnacentral:rRNA from 1 species
AUGAACGCUGGCGGCAGGCCUAAAACAUGCAAGUCGAACGCUCUAGCAAUAGAGAGUGGCGCACGGGUGCGUAACACGUGGGAAUAUGCCUUUUGGUACGGAACAACGUCUGGAAACGGACGCUAAUACCGUAUGGUCCCUUCGGGGUAAAGAUUUAUCGCCAAAAGAGUAGCCCGCGCUGGAUUAGCUAGUUGGUGAGGUAAUGGCUCACCAAGGCGACGAUCCAUAGCUGGUCUGAGAGGACGAUCAGCCACACUGGGACUGAGACACGGCCCAGACUCCUACGGGAGGCAGCAGUUAGGAAUAUUGGACAAUGGGGGCAACCCUGAUCCAGCCAUGCCGCGUGAGUGAUGAAGGCCUUCGGGUUGUAAAGCUCUUUAGCCGAUGAUUAUAAUGACUGUAGUCGGAAAAUAAGCCCCGGCUAACUUCGU